UUGAUUAAAUAGGCAUUAGGACACCUUUUCAAAAAGGCUUUUCUGUGGUGUUCAGAAGCAUUUCUAGAAAUUGAAACCUCAGACUUUCCAAGAUGUACCUCAGUGCUGCAUAUCACCGCAUACCUCUAAGUGAUGGAAACAGCAUUCCUAUCAUCGGUCUUGGUACCUACUCAGAACCUAGAUUGACCCCUAAGGGGACCUGUGCAAGAUCAGUGAAAAUUGCCAUUGACACGGGGUACCGGCACGUUGAUGGCGCCUACCUCUACCAGAACGAGCACGAAGUGGGGGAGGCCAUCAGGGAGAAGAUAGCAGAAGGAAAGGUGCAGAGGCAGGAUAUCUUCUACUGCGGAAAGCUGUGGGCUACACAUCAUGACCCACAGAUGGUCCGCCCAACUCUGGAGAGGACGCUCAGGGGCCUCCAGCUAGAUUAUGUGGAUCUUUACAUCAUUGAAAUACCCAUGGCUUUCAAGCCUGGAGAUGAAUUCUAUCCUAAAGAUGAAAAUGGCAAAUGGUUAUAUCACAAGUCAAAUCUGUGUGCCACUUGGGAGGCUUUAGAAGCUUGCAAAGAUGCUGGCUUGGUGAAAUCCCUCGGUGUAUCCAAUUUUAACCGUAGGCAGCUGGAGCUUAUUCUGAACAAACCAGGACUUAAGCAUAAGCCAGUCAGCAACCAGGUUGAAUGCCAUCCAUAUUUCACCCAGCCAAAACUCUUGAAAUUUUGCCAACAACAUGACAUUGUCAUUAUUGCAUACAGCCCUUUGGGGACCUCUAGGAAUCCAUCCUGGGUGAAUGUGUCUUCCCCACCUUUGUUAAAGGAUGCACUUCUAAACUCACUGGGGAAAAAAUACAAUAAGACAGCAGCUCAAGUUGUUUUGCGUUUCAACAUCCAGCGAGGAGUGGUUGUCAUUCCUAAAAGCUUUAACCCUGAAAGGAUCAAAGAAAACUUUCAAAUCUUUGACUUUUCUCUCACUGAAGAAGAAAUGAAGGGCAUUGAAGACCUGAAUAAAAAUGUCCGCUUCGUGGAAAUGCUCAUGUGGUGUGACCAUCCUGAAUACCCAUUUCAUGAUGAAUACUGACUUCAGAGAGCUCCGCAACAGAUAUUUUCCCUCUAUGUGUGCCAGGACUUUGGGCUGGGUGGUUCCUCCAGCUAUGGAAAUCAAAGGAGUUUACUAUCCUCAGAUGAAAUGGUGAUGGAGACACACUUAACUUUUGUGUAGUGUAAGUGACUUUGACUUAGCUAUGUGGGGGGAAAAAAUAGGUUUAAAUCUGUUGAAAUAACUUGGAAAUUAUCAGCUAAUAUUUUAUUAAAUCAAUGUCUUCUGGGUUUCAGAAAGAAAAAUAUUAGGCUUUAGAAAAGACUUCAAAGGCAACAUAUGAAGAUAAAUAACACAUGAAUUCGGAUACUGCUGCCAUGGGUAGUCUGAGUUCUUUAGCAGUUAACAGGGCAACAGCAAGGAUGGAGAGCUGGACCAUGCCAGUGUGCUGGCAGUGGUCUUGAUGGUUUGGACCAUUGACUGUAAUACAGACACAGCCAAGAGGCCUCUAAUGGAAUAUGGAGUAAGAUACAUCAAUAGUUACAUAACCUGCCUGGAAAAGGAGAGGAGGCCAACAGCGUACCCACUGAUCCAUAAAAACACAUGGACCAGAAGAGCAAGGACUUUCUGCCCCAGCCCGCAGAAUGUUUUUUGUUUGCCCAUCACUGACUAUUCUCCUUGGAAGACCUCCCUCAGGCACUGUCUUCCAUAAUGACACAGAGGUUAUUGGAAGAGGCCACAAGAGGCACAUAGGCACCAAUCCCAAGUCUGCAGGCUUCAACACUGCGACGUGCUGCACACUUCAUGACCACAGUUAUGGAAAUGUAAAAGGUUGAGGUAAAUUAUAUUUCCCAGGCUUGGUAUUUCUCUGGAACUCCCUUAAAAUUUCAAGCUUUCACUGGUGACUUCAAUUUCUGACCAUUCCAAACUAGUAACUAAAUCAUGAUAUCUUGUGGAGCCCUGGUCCUUGCAUGUGAACCCUCCCGGAAUCUGAACUGUACCCACCAUGUUUCUACCUCCAGAUACCAAAUCCUCAAGUUCUCACUUCUCUUGAUGGGGGCAAGGGGUGAGGAGGGAUAGGAUAAUCUCCUCUGGGCACUGGUAUUUUAGCUAGAUUGAGAGCUGAGAUGCAGAAUAUGGUGGGAGGUAUGGUGGGAGUAGCAGUGGUCUUGACAAAAGUACAUGGACUUUUCAGGUCCCCCCCUUAAAUCUGGCCAUUGGUAAAUCUUCCUACAAAGACUAUGUAGCAUCCUUAGGAGCAUGAGGGCCCCUUUAAUUCUGUCUUGGGGGUUGUCAGGAAGAGAUAAAAUUGCCAAAGGACAAUUUGGAGCUGGGUAGCCCUCACUUUAUGUCCUGCUGAAGUUGGUCACAUGUUGGUCAGAGAGGAGCAGCUAGUGGAAAUGAUUGAACAUAUGUUUUUAAACUGUGUUGUGUGUGUGUGUUGCUAUUUGAUAUGUACUAUUGAGCAUUUUUUAUUGACAUUCGUAUAUAAGACUAUUGUGUAGUUUUGUGUAUACUCUUUAGUUUCUAUUAUCAAAUUGUGCUCCUUUCAUUGUUAAAAGGAGAGAGUGAGAUUUUCUUUCACACUCUCCACUCUAGAACAAAUUAAAUUUAAACGAUUUAUUUCCUAAAGUAUUGGUGGAAUUCACCUGAGAAUUGCCUCUCUGUCAAUAGAGAGCCUGUACAUUUUCUAUUUCAUCUCAAAUCAAUUUUGCAAAUUUAUCUUCUUCUAUAAUUUAUCAAUGUCACGUAUUUAGCAUAUGGAGGUAUAUUUGUUCAUUUAGUCAACAAGAUUUUUGUGUGCCACUGUGGUAGGCUCUAUCCUCGGCAGUUGGGAUAUUCCAGUAAACAAAAGUCCCUGAGCUCUCAUACACGCCCGUACUCUUCCAAUUCCUUUAAUUUUCCUAAACAUGUGGUCACCUCCCUCUUGCAAUUCUUCUUUUGUUUGUCUAUGGUCUUGUUUUGUAAUUAAUGGUUUAUCAAGUUAUUUUUUAUUUUUUCUGGAUUUCAUUUAGACCAAAUUUCCCAAAGGAAAGAAAAUUCAUUGACUACUUCUGUCUUUCUGUUUCUUAAUUCAUUCAUAUCUCAUUUUCUUUUACUUAUCUCUUGUCUUUUUUAUAACUCAUCCAUAGACUUCUAACUUCUUAGGUUGAAUAUUUAUUUCAUUGAUUUUUGUUGGUUUUUCUUGUAUAGUAAUAUAAACAUUGAAUAUAAUGAAUUGUCCAUUGAGUACUGUUUUAGUUAAGAUUUCUUAAGUCGAUUUUGUAAUUUUACAGAUAUUCUGAGUUUGGGGUUUGCUUUCUUCUUUAAUCGUUGUUUACAAGAGUUCCUGUCUUACUUUAAUUUCUAGUGUUAGAGCUUUUUUUCUAGCUUUUAUAUUCUACUUUUAAUCAUGCUGAGCUCAGAUAUCAUCAGUCAAUGUUUUCAACAUUUCAUGGAAUUGUGACAAGAUACAUUCUGUUUUAAAGUAUUGAGUUGGAUAUAACGGACAUAUAAUCCUGUGUUAUACAUUUUUAUCAUCUAGUAUUAGAAGAGCUAUUUGAGUGAGUGGUUCUUUCUUUUAAACAGUGAUUCUUAACUAGGUGUUAAGAGAUUCGGCAAUGUCUGGAGACAUUUUUGAUUGUUACAACUGGUGGGGGUGGGGAGAGGUAAUAUUGGCAUUUAGUAGGAAGAGGCCAGGGAUGCUGCUAAACAUCCUACGAUGCACAGAACAGCUCCCACAGCAAAGAAUUAUCUGGGCCAAAAUGUAAUUUUUGCUGAGAUUGAGAAACCCUGCUAUCAGAAGAGUCUUUCUUGACAGAUGUUAAAAUGUGCUGAUUCCUAAUGCCAUAAUUUCAAUUUAUUGCAUAUAACUGAAAACUAAUCCAUUUAGCCUUGUUUAUAGUGCUUGAAGUAAACUGUCCACCUUUUACAUGGACAGUUUGAACAAACUGUCCAGCUAUGUUUUUUUCUUGUGUAUUUUAUCUUUUCUCAGAUUAUUAAACUGCUAAUGUAUGCCAUGCUUUUAGUAUUUGAGUUUAAAACACAUGGGCAAGCGAGCCCCAAUGAAAAUAAGUUAAUGCAGGAAACCAGGCUUUCCUGGUGACUCAGUGGUUAAGAAUCCACCUGCCAAUGCAGGGGACACCGGUUCGAGCCCUGGUCCGGGAAGAUCCCACAUGCCGCAGAACAACUAAGCCUGUGCACCACAACUACUGAGCCUACACUCUAGAGCCUGUGAGCCACAACUACUAAAGCCUGCAUGCCUAGAGCCUGCACUCUGCAACAAGAGAAGCCACUGCAAUGAGAAGCCCGCGCACCGCAGGAAAGAGUAGCCCCCGCUCGCCGCAAAUAAGGAAAGCCCGUGCACAGCAAAGAAGACCCAACGCAGCCAAAUAUAAAUAAAUAAAUUUAAAAAAAAAUAAUUUCUUCAGUAUGAGUCAAGAGAAAAAUUGCUCUAAUAACAGACCACCAUUGAAAAUAGAAGCAAUCUGAAAGAUUAGAUUAAGCUGGUAACCUACUUUCCUUCUUGUCCCAAAUUUCUUUCUUUUUUUAUUUAUUUAUUUAUGACUGCCUUGGGUCUUCCUUGCUACACGCGGGCUUUCUCUAGUUGCAGCGAGCGGGGGCUACUCUUCAUUGCGGUGCGCGGGCUUCUCAUUGCAGUGGCUUCUCGUUGCGCAGCACAGGCUCCAGGCACGUGGGCUUCAGUAGUUGUGGCACAUGGGCUCCAUAGUUGUGGCUCACGGGCUCUAGAGCGCAGUCUCAGUAGUUGUGGCGCACAGGUUUAGCUGCUGUGUGGCAUGUGGGAUCUUCCCGGACCAGGGCUCAAACCCGUGUCGCCUGCACUGGCAGGCAGAUUCUUAACCACUGUUCCACCAGGGAAGUCCCCCCAAAUUUCUUGAAAUAACUAAGCAGAGAGCCAAUUAAAUAGACUAAGUCUAUAGCACCUCUCUAAAAUAAAGAAAGGGUACCAUCACUGAACCCCAAAUCCUUAAGAUAAGAAAGCCGAGGUAAUUGGAUUGACAAAGAAGUAAGAGUAGACAACAGUAGCCUAACGUACUUGCCGGAAACAACUGCUACAAAGGUAAUAGCAAUUUUAGACAUGCUUCAAGUUUAGAAUAAAACAAUAAUAGUAGAAGUUCCUAUGACCUCACAUCUGACAGGACUAUCCCCUCCAUACAAACAGUUCUGAGGGGCUCCCAAAAGCCAUGUUUGUUUGUUUAAUUUAUUUAUUUAUUUAUUUUUGGCUGUGUUGGGUCCUCGUUGCUGUGCCCGGGCUUUCUCUGGCUGUCAUGAGCAGGGGCUACUCUUCGUUGCAGUGCACAGGCUUCUCAUUGUCGUGGCUUCUCUAGUUGCAGAGCACGGGCUCUAGGUGCGCAGGCUUCAGUAGUUGUGGCACAUGGGCUCAGUAGUUGUGGCUUGUGGGCUAUAGAGCUCAGGCUCAGUAGUUGUGGCGCACCGGCUUAGUUGCUCCGUGGCAUGUGGAAUCUUCCCGGGCCAGGGCUUGAACCUGUGUCCCCUGCAUUGGCAGGCGGAUUCUUAACCACUGCACCACCAGCGGAACCGGCCAUGUUUGUUCUUCAGGCUGAAAGCUAUUUCUUUCUAAUCAAAGUGAAUACUGUUCCAGAAGAGAGCAGGUAACUCAAUAUUGAGACUGGAGAAACAGAUCACAACCUGGGAAACUUCAAAAAAACACACAAAAGGUAGGAUUAAAAAAAGAAAAGAGCAAAGCUGAUUUUGGCAUUUACUUCCAGGAUAAAGCUAUGGAGUGGGGGAGGCAGAGAAGAAGUGACAAUGGCGGGAGGAUUAAAGGCUACCCGUGGCCAUGUGAGAACCAGCGUAUAUAACUGAAGCAGAACAGAUUUUACUACCUCAAAAUACUCCACAUGGGCUUAAGAAUUAUUUUGUGCUGAAGACAAUUGAGAAGAAACAGAUAGAAGAAAUCUCUGUCUUCCCCCGAUUUGCCUAAAAGGAGGAAAUAAACUUACAAAGUGUCCCUCCUCCCUCUCUACCAGGAAGGACAAAAGUUGAACUGCUAGAGACAACUUUAGAUCCUUACCAGUCUGGAGAUGGCACCAGAGGAAUUUAUAUAACAAACUUUGCUAACUAGACCUUAUCUUCUGUUAGUCUCCCAUAUAUUUGUCCUCCCAUGAUUUGCUGCCCCUAGACUCAAAGUCCUUUUCUUUUGUCUUGUCACUUCUCAAAAAAUGUAUUGCUCUUUUGUUAAGAAGUUAUGUAAGACCUAGUUCUAACCAAGCCUUUGAGUUACUCAUCUCUGGGAACUCCCAUGUGUAACAUGCAUGAAUACAUAUGUCUGUAAACUUCUGUUUGUUUUUCUCUUGUUAAUCUGUCUUUUGUCAGUCCAAUCUACAGGGCUCCAGCUGGAGAACCUAAGAUGGGUAGAGGAAGAGAUUCGUCCUCACCUAUAAGACUAUGUCAGGUAGAAGCUCGUAGUUUCCUUUUAAUAAGGGAGGCAAAGAAGCCAAUGACAUGAGCAAUCAUCAUGGAAGCCAUAAGACCGGUUGUCUCCUCUUGCCAACUCCACCUGCCUUCUGGGCACGAAGCCUCUGAAAGAAAAGUUAAACUCUAAGGUGAACUAUGGAAAACUGAGGAACAAGAGCAGAACACAGUUUACACCAGCCAACUCCAAAGAAGACAGCAACAGGGCUUUGCCUAAAACGGCCUUGAGCAAUUGGUAGUCUAGGAGGCAGAACCAUAUAGCUACGAGGCUCCAAAUGCACUGUUGAUAUUCAAAAUUCCAGAAGCAUUCUUCAAAGGUGUGUGGCAUGAAAAGGACGGCCCAUAUACACAGGUGUCAUCAGUCACAGCUGCACCUAUUAGCACCAUCAAUUUCCACCUCCAUUCCCAGGCUUUUUAAACUGGAAACUGUAUUUUGACCAGGUGGUAGACCCUGCCAGGAAUGCCUCACACGUAUUUCCUUUGGGGUAAGCCCCUAAACACAGGUUUUUAACUGAGUAAUGUUAAAGAACAGCUCUGGGCUAAUACCUAAGGAUGUUGCACGUAUCCACACAGGCACUUAGGCAAAGCUUGAUCUGCAGCUGAUCUGAGUCUUGGCCGAACAUCCUGGGUCCUCUGAAAACAAGAGUGUGCUGGAGGCGUGUGAGGAGCUGCUACCAGGCCGUUUCUCACUCAGUGCCCUAUCUGCCAAGAAGGAGGCCACAGUGAGGCAGUUUCUCAUCUUCUGCCAGGUUUUGAUGAGGCCUGAGACCUCUGACUCACCCCUUGGGGUCCAGCUGCAGACUAUAAAGUACCUUAGCAGCAACAUAGCAGUGGCCCUUCAGCAACAGGAUAGACCAUCAUUCAUGUUGCAAUCAUCUGGACCCUUUUGUUUUGGUGUUGCCCUACUCCAGAGACUAAAGGAAGGAGAUUGCCAUCAUCAUAGGGACAUAGAAACUGGACAACAACAACAAAAAAAAAACAGCGAGAUUAUGCUACUAUAGAAAAAAAUUAUAAAACUACUUAGAUUCCAAUAAUGAUUCUCCCUCAAGGGUCCUGCUGGUACGUAAUUAUAUCUUUGUUUCUUUAACUGAUCAAUAUUCCUAAUAGUGACGCCAUUUCCAUAUUAGAGUCUCCUGCUUUGUCACCGUUGCAAGUCUAGCUUGCACAAGAGUUGGUAAAAUUUCCCAUAUUAUAAUUUUUUUUUUUUUUUUUGCGGUACACAGGCCUCUCACUGUUGUGGCCUCUCCCGUUGCGGAGCACAGGCUCCGGACACGCAGGCUCAGCAGCCAUGGCUCACGGGCCCAGCCGCUCCGCGGCAUGUGGGAUCCUCCCGGACCGGGGCACGAACCCGUGUCCCCUGCAUCGGCAGGCGGACUCUCAACCACUGCGCCACCAGGGAAGCUCUCCCAUUUUGACCAAAAAUAUGUCUUAUCUACCUCCAGGAAGAAUUAAUAAACCAGAUUAUAAGAGUUAUUAAAAUUUAAUGGAGCAAGUUUUUAUUCCAAUUAUCCAGUGAAACAACAUUAAUAUAUCAAAUAUUAAUAUAAAUCUGAAGAAAAAUGCAAAGAUUUCUAGGUUUUUUUUUUUUUUUUUGCUUUUUUAUGAUUUAUAUGUAGUCUCUAAGGGGGAAAAAUGUCUUGCUAAGGUAGUAACAGAAAAAAAUGUUUUAAGAGAAGCUUAUGAUAAUUGGUUACUUGGAAAUAUGUCAAGAGCAAAAAUUGUUUUUAAAAAACUUAAAAAUUUUAAUAACUGGUACAUAGUUAUAUAGGGAAAAGUUUUAUAUAAUAAGAUGAUACCUUGGAUAAAUUAGACUGGUUUAAUCUUUUGGUUUAGAAAUAGCUAUAUUUUCUCUGAUUUUACCAGUAUAAUACUAUUUAGCAUAUUUUCUUGGGUUUAUUUUCUAAUAAAAAAAGCGAAUUAAUUUGAGUUUUCUAGAUUUCCUCUACUGAUUUUAAUGGUCAAAUAAGCCAAUUCAUAAUAGAUUAUAAAAUAUUAAAAUUAUGUGUCAAAAUAAAUUGAAUUAUAAUAGGUAAUUCUUUAUAAGAGGGAUUCUUACAGUGCUAUAAAUCAUAUAGACUAAUGUGUCAGCAUAAAUUAUAAUAUCCAAAUCCUUACUUUUAAAUACUUAAACUAAUAUUAAAUUGUGUUAAUCACUGAGUUAUAUUUGGGUCCCUGAAAAAUUUCUAGGUAAGAUAAAGACAAAACAUUGAUCACUAAACGUAUUAGUUUACCCUCUUCCUUAUUUUUACAAAAACUAUAGAAUGGCAAUCAGCAGAUUAAAGGAUGAACUUGCCCUUAAAUGAAAAUAUACAUGAAUAUUUUUGCCAACUUAAAAUUUGAUAAGACGAUAGUGUGGAUGAAAAAUUGUUGCUCACCAUCUGCCUCUACAGGGAUUAGGUCACUAGCCACUGCAGUCCUUCAGCACACCCCGAAAGGGGUUCAGGGCGGAGAUCAUGGAAAAACUGGCAGAACAGGCCUUCAGAUAGUUAGAUGUUUUCAGAAGAAGGUUUUAUGAGCCUAAUUUCUUACAUCUUCUCAUAUCCAGAAAAGCAUUAAAAUCAUUAACAGAGACAUCUGCUCCUCAUGAAUAGCAGUAAACUUCCAGCAAAAUGUGUGCUUGAUUGCACAUCUCCCCCUUCACUAAAAUCUUGUAUAUACUGACCUCCUUCUUUACCUCUUCAGAACAGUUCCUCAAAUAAAAACGCAGACUUAGAGAACGGACUUGAGGACACGGGGAGGGGGAAGGGUAAUCUGGGACGAAGUGAGAGAGUGGCAUGGACAUAUAUAUGCUACCAAAUGUAAAAUAGAUAGCUACUGGGAAGCAGCCACAUAGCAUAGGAAGAACAGCUCGGUGCUUUGUGACCACCUGGAGGGGUGGGUUAGGGAGAGUGGGAGGGAGAUGCAAGAGGGAGGAGAUACGGGCAUAAACGUAUACGUAGAGCUGAUUCACUUUGUUAUACAACAGAAACUAACACAACAUUGUAAAGCAAUUAUAUUCCAAUAAAGAUGUUAAAAAAAAAGAAAGAAAGAACAGUUCCUCAGAGCUGAGAGGCUGUCUCCCUGGCUAUAGUUCUCUUUUUUUUUUUUUUUUUUUUUUUUAUAGUUCUCAUUUUAUCCCAAGUAAAACUUAACUCACAACUCUCACGUUGUGCUUUUUUUAUUUCAGUUGACAGUAGAUAAUUAGUACUUAUGGACAAACAUAGCUGUAGACCUUGUUUCUUCUCAUUUUAAUUUUCUCUGUUAAUUGGGUACAAAAUUUGGUUGCUAUAGUUAAAGAUCUCAAAAGCCCUCUCUUGGAAGCCAGAUCCUAAAUAGACCUUCCUUUCUUAACAGGUGUUAUAGCAACAGCCCCCAGUCUCUGGGCGUUUCAAACUAUGCUAAGCCUCUUUUCACUAUUAAUUGAUAAAAGUCAAGCUUAUGUUUUAGGGUAGUAACUCCAGUUUAAAGCCCUAAACUUUUCUCAUUCCAAUUUGAUACUAAACUCUGAUGACAAUCUUAAUAUGAUUUUAUUUGGUAUUAGGAAUACUUAAGGUAAUUUCUAAAUAUUUUAUUUAAAAUAUUAUGUUAUUAACAAAUCAUCCCAUUCAGAUAACUGACCCAAACAUGCCACAUUACCAGAGGCUUAAGAAUUAACAUCUAUAGGGCUUCCCUGAUGGCGCAGUGGUUGAGAGUCCGCCUGCCGAUGCAGGGGACAGGGGUUCAUGCCCUAGUCCGGGAAGAUCCCACAUGCCGCGGAGCGGCUGGGCCCGUGAACCAUGGCCGCUGAGCCUGCGCGUCUGGAGCCUGUGCUCCGCAACGGGAGAGGCCACAACAGUGAGAGGCCCGCAUACCGCAAAAAAAAAAAAAAGAAUUAACAUCUAUAUACUUAAUAGUAGAUAUUAUGCCUUUAAAGUUGCUUAUGAAUUUGCCAUGCUACAAAAAUAAAGGAGUUUUCUAACUUCUUUGUGAAGCCCAAGAAAAUUAUUGGAGAUUAUCCAACAUCAAAAAAAAAUCUCAUUAUUAAGCUUAAAACCAAUGAAGAAAAUGCAUUUUCUAUUAUUAUGCAAACUAGUGACUCUUACUGGUUUUCAUCCAAAAGAGACUAAACAUUUAUAGUCAAUAGAAAGAUAGUUAUGUAAUCUAGUUUCUAGAAGGAAAAAAACCUUAUUGAUAAAAUCUUCCAUUAUUUGUAAUUUUUAUAAACCCCUAAUAAACUGAAGCUGUAGGGCAAGAACUGAAACCCCUACCUAGUGAAUCAUUUGAACAUUUACAAAUGAAUCUCAUUUUUUUGUUUCAAGCUUUGAUAUAUAUUUUUUAAUGAUUAUUUAUAAAUAAAUAUUUUGGUUGAAUUUAAGCAGUCUUUUGCCAAAAGACUAACAUGCUGAUAUAAAAACAAAGAUUUCAUUUUCCCACCUGGAAAUAUCAAUAACAGUGAAAGCUCACUUUACAGGUAAAAUAUUUUUUAAAUGUAUGCAAAGUAUUCACAUUUAACUGAAAAGUCCACAUCAUUUUCAAAGCUCUAAGAAGAAAAAGGCAAGCUAAUGACAUUUUAAAGUCAAUACUGCCCAGCUUCCAAAGAAGCUUACUCUCCCUCGAAUGAUAAUGGGAUCUUAUCUCAAAAUCUCUAUGGGGACUUCCCUGGUGGUGCACUGGUUAAGAAUCCGCCUGCCAAUACAGGAGACACAGGUUCAAUCCCUGGUCUGGGAAGAUCCUACAUGCCGCAGAGCAACUGAGCCCGUGCGCCACAACUCCUGAGCCUGUGUUCUAGAGCCUGCGAGCCACAACUACUGAGCCCACGUGCCACAACUACUGAAGCCUGCGCGCCUAGAGCCUAUGCUCUGCAACAAGAGAAGACACUGCAGUGAGAAGCCCGUGCACGGCAACAAAGAGUAGCCCCCACUCGCCACAACUAGAGAAAGCCCGCGUGCAGCAACAAAGACCCAAGGCAGCCAAAAAUAAAUAAAUAAAAAUUUUAAAAAAUCUCCAUGAACUCUCACUAUAUUGUUACUAAAAUUACCUUUAGGCUUGGCUUGAGUUCUCUACUGACAGGUUCUGCCUUGAUGCAUCCUGAUCUCAUUGAGUAUCAUUAUUUAGCUCAUUUAUGUGCUUAGUUAUAUACCCAGCAGCUGCCAGCCACACAUCCAAAAGGGAAACCAAUGAUACACCUCUACAGACUAACUAGUUUAGAAGCACUACCACAUGGAUGAACCUUGAGGACAUUAUGCUAAGUAAAAUAAGCCAGUCACAAAAGACAAAUAUUGAAUGACUCCACUUAGAAGAGGUACCUAGAAUAGUCAACUCACAGAAACGGUGGUUGCCAGGGGAUGAUGGGGCAGGGGGGUGGGGAGGGAGAUGGCGGAAUGAGGAGUUAGUGUUUAAUGGAUAUGGAGUUUCAGUUUGGGAAUAUGAAAGCUCUGGAGGGGGAUAGUGGUGAUGGUUGCACAAUGUGAGUAAUGCCCCUGAACUAUACACUUAAAAGUGGUUAAAAUGAUAAAAUUCGUUUUAUAUAUACUAUACCACAGGAAGGAAAAGGAGAAGGAGAGAGAAGAACUUAAGAUUCUACAACCUGGCCAUACAAACCUGCUAGAGGCCUGACCCUGAAACCCACUAAAAGGCUCCAGAAACAGACCACGACCAAAGCAGACAGCUUCCUGUGAAUUCUGUAAUUAAGAUUCUCUGACUCAAGAUGACAUUGGGUGCAGACAGUGUCCCGCCAAGGCCUUCAAAUCAAGACUCGUAAUCAGGAUAUAGGAUUUACAUUUGAGCUUAGGUUUAAUAAUCAUCUCACCUCCAUUUCCUUACUCCUUUCACGUUAAUCUUUUCUGUGGGCAACACUAUCAAUUUCCAACUGUUAAAUUUGUUGUCCAACCUUCCAAAGUAUUUAAAACAAAGCUUGAUAUCAAAACUUAUCAAAAAGGAUCUAAGACACUGGAUAUCACUGAUUUCUUUUUUUUCUUUUUUUAAAAAUAUUUAUUUAUUUGGCUGUGUUGGGUCUUCAUUGCUGCACGGGAGCUUUCUCUAGUUGUGACGAGCAGGGGCUACUCUUUGUUGUGGUGCACCGGCUUCUCAUCGCGGUGGCUUCUCUUGUUGCAGAGCAUAGGCUCUAGCUGCGCGGGCUUCAGUAGUUGUGGCUCGCGCGCUCUAGAGCGCAGGCUCAGGAGUUGUGGUGCACGGGCUCAGUUGCUCCGCAGCAUGUGGGAUCUUCCCGGACCAGCGCUCAAACCCAUGUCUCCUGCAUUGGCAGGAGGAUUCUUAAACAUUGCGCCACGCGGAAGUCCUGAUUUCGCUGAUUUCUAUGAGGAUUCUACUCUGGCGAGAAGUCUCAAAAACUACAAUGUAUGAUCCAUAAUUUAGUUUUGAUGAUAAACCAAAUAACAGUUAAAAUACUCCAUCAAGACAGGCACAUCAAAAACAGCUUAUUUAAAUUUAAUGAAGCUACUUUUCUUGCUAGGCUUUACGUUCCCAAUUUUCUGUUAAUAUCUGUGGCUGUCCUCAUCCCUUUGUGCCCUCCUCCACCAGGUGUGAAAAUAACCAGGUGUGAAAAUGUUGCUGUGUAGCCAUCCCAUUAUCCCAAGCUGACACUCAACUGAUAAGACUGUGUCAAGAAGAGCCUAACCCGUUAUGGACAAACCUGUUUCACUUGGAGCUCAUUUGACCAAAAGGGGGAAGCUGAGAAAUUCCUGUGAGGAAAGUGGUGCAGCCGAAGGGUGGGGCUAACCAAAGGACCCAGGCAGACAUUACACAGAGACAGCUAUUGUGUGUACUCCAUAACUAAACUCCCAAAUUCUUCUGGAGAAUCCAUAAACCAAUGAAGUUCUUAGAUACCCAUAGUUGGCCUUCUUAAGGACAGAAUAUCCAGACCGACCCCAUACUAGCUGCCAGCUAGCUACCCAGUGGGGAAAUGAAAGUAUAUUAUAAUAAGGCUUUUAUACUGAAUAUGAAGUUAUUUGACAAUAGCCUGUUUUAUGUUAAACAUGCAUGAGGAAAACUCUAGAGCAACCGUUAAAAAAAAAAUUGCAGAGCUAAUAAGUCAAUAGUAGAGAUAAAUGUAAUAAAAAAUAUUCAGUAAAUUCAAAAGGCAGAAAAAUAGAAAGCAUAUAGCAAGAUGGUAGAUGCAAACCCAAUCAAAUUCAUAAUUAUAUCUAAUGUCAUUUGUUUGAGAAUUCAAAAUAAAAGGCAGAUAUUGUCAGACUAGAUAAAAACGUAAGACCCAACUAUAUAUGCUGUCUAUAGGACACUCAUUUAAAAUAUAUCUUUGUAAACAAAUUAAUGAGAUCAUUUUAUACUUGUUAGGAAAAUUGGGGGAUAUUGGCCUUAAUGAACUGCUGAUGGAAGUGUAUUCUACCAGUACAGCCAUUCUGGAGAGCAAUCUGGCACUUGGCCAAAUUAAGUCUGUAAUACCCUGUGGUUCAGCUAUUCCACAUCUGAGUAUUUAUCCCAAAGAAAUCCCCAUCCAUGUCCAUAAGGUUUCAUGCACAAGGAUAUUCAUGGAAGCAUUGUUUGUUGUAGUUGGAUGUCAGAAGCAAUCUGGAUGCCCAUGGCAGGGGAGAGAAUGAGAAAAAUACGGUAAAUGCACAGAGUACUAAUGCAGCCAGAAGAAGCACCAGGCUAACUGUAAACACAGCAAUAUGGAUCUUUAAAACAUAGUGCUGAGAGAGAAAAAUAUAAAAGAAUAAGAAACAAGAUGAGAUCUGUAAUGAUACAAUUUACAUAAUUAGAGGCAUGUAUUCUAAGCAAUGUUAUCCGUGUUAGAGCAAUACAAACACAGAAUAUGCAUUUAAAAUAUUAGAAUGGGACUUCCCUGGUGGCGCAGUGGUUGAGGGUCCGCCUGCCGAUGCAGGGGACACGGGUUCGUGCCCCGGUCCGGGAAGAUCCCACAUGCCGCGGAGCGGCUGGACCCGUGAGCCAUGACCACUGAGCCUGCGCGUCCGGAGCCUGUGCUCCGCAACUGGAGAGGCCACAACAGUGAGAGGCCCGCGUACCGCAAAAAAAAAAAAAAAAAAAAAAAAAAUUAGAA